AGUGAACGCUGGCGGUAGGCCUAACACAUGCAAGUCGAACGGCAGCACAGGAGAGCUUGCUCUCUGGGUGGCGAGUGGCGGACGGGUGAGGAAUACAUCGGAAUCUACCUUUUCGUGGGGGAUAACGUAGGGAAACUUACGCUAAUACCGCAUACGACCUACGGGUGAAAGUGGGGGACCGCAAGGCCUCACGCGAUUAGAUGAGCCGAGGUCCGAUUAGCUAGUUGGCGGGGUAAUGGCCCACCAAGGCGACGAUCGGUAGCUGGUCUGAGAGGAUGAUCAGCCACACUGGAACUGAGACACGGUCCAGACUCCUACGGGGGGCAGCAGUGGGGAAUAUUGGACAAUGGGCGCAAGCCUGAUUCAGCCAUACCGCGUGGGUGAAGAAGGCCUUCGGGUUGUAAAGCCCUUUUGUUGGGAAAGAAAUCCUGUCGAUUAAUACUCGGUGGGGAUGACGGUACCCAAAGAAUAAGCACCGGCUAACUUCGUGCCAGCCGCCGCCGUAAAAC
rnacentral:rRNA from 1 species